rnacentral:misc_RNA from 1 species
AGUCAUCAACCCCUCCCGUUUCGUGCGGAGAGGUGAGUUGGAGCUGGGGGUUUGCGGCCGAAAGGUCGCUCCCCUCAAAUGCUUCGGUUGGGCCUGUGGGUCAAACUCGGUUGGGCGUUGUAACAACCUCGCUCUUGUCCGAGACAUUCCCCUCUGCUUGUGCCCUUCCACGACCUGCCUCCUCGAGUGGCGGUCAAAAAACAACUUUGAA